rnacentral:rRNA from 1 species
AUUGAACGCUGGCGGCAGGCCUAACACAUGCAAGUCGAGCGGAGCGGCGGACGGGUGAGUAAUGCCUAGGUAUCUGCCUGGUAGUGGUGGAUAACGUCCGGAAACGGGCGCUAAUACCGCAUACUAUCAGAUGAGCCUAGGUCGGAUUAGCUGGCUGGUGGGGUAAAGGCCUACCAAGGCGACGAUCCGUAACUGGUCUGAGAGGAUGAUCAGUCACACUGGAACGGAGACACGGUCCAACCUCCUACGGGAGGCAGCAGUGGGGAAUAUUGGACAAUGGGCGAAAGCCUGAUCCAGCCAUGCCGCGUGUGUGAAGAAGGUCUUCGGAUUGUAAAGCACGUUAAGUUGGGAGGCGUUACCCGCAGAAGAAGCACCGGCUAACUCCGUGCCAGCCGCCGCGGUAAUAC